rnacentral:rRNA from 1 species
UGGCUUAUGAUUGAAAUGAUUUAUCGCUGUAGGAUGGGACUGCGGCCUAUCAGCUUGUUGGUGGGGUAAUGGCCCACCAAGGCUAUAACAGGUACGGGCUCUGAGAGGAGAAGCCCGGAGAUGGGUACUGAGACACGGACCCAGGCCCUAUGGGGCGCAGCAGGCGAGAAACCCUAGCAAUGUGCGAAAGCACGACUAGGUUAAUCCGAGUGAUUUCUGCUGAAGAAAUCUUUUGUCAGUUCUAAAAAUACCGAUGAAUAAGGGGUGGGCAAGUCUGGUGUCAGCCGCCGCGGUAAUACCAGCACCUCGAGUGGUCAGGAUGUUUAUUGGGCCUAAAGCAUCCGUAGCCGGCUUUGCAAGUCUCCGGUUAAAUCCAGCUGCCUAACAGAUGGGCUGCCGGAGAUACUACAAAGCUAGGGAGCGGGAGAGGCAGACGGUAUUCGGUGGGUAGGGGUAAAAUCCUCUGAUCCAUUGAAGACCACCAGUGGCGAAGGCGGUCUACCAGAACGCGUUCGACGGUGAGGGAUGAAAGCUGGGGGAGCAAACCGGAUUAGAUACCCGGGUAGUCCCAGCUGUAAACGAUGCAAACUCGGUGAUGCGUUGGCUUAUGGCCAACGCAGUGCCGCAGGGAAGCCGUUAAGUUUGCCGCCUGGGAAGUACGGACGCAAGUCUGAAACUUAAAGGAAUUGGCGGGGGAGCACCACAAGGGGUGAAGCCUGCGGUUCAAUUGGAUC